rnacentral:lncRNA from 10 species
AUGGUUAUGAUAGAGCAGGUAAUCGGAAUGAGUCAGGGUGGAGUAGGUAAUCGGAAUGAGUCAGAGUGGAGCAGGUAAUCGGAAUGAGUCAGGGUAGAGUAGGUAAUCAGAAUGAGUCAGGGUGGAGCAGGUAAUCGGAAUGAGUCAGGGUGGGGCAGGUAAUCGGAAUGGGUCAGGGUGGAGUAGGUAAUCAAAAAAGGUUGCUUUACAAGGAAGUUAAGUUUAAAAGUAGAAGGCAAAGAAUUGAACAUACUGACAUACUGAUUCUUUGAAAAGAAAUUUAGAACUCAUAUCUAACAACCCCUCCUCUUGCAUUUCCUUACAGCUCCUUCUUUUCAAAUUUUUUAACAUGUCUUGGUUUAGUUGUUCCACUUGAUUUUCCAAAAGAAGAAGCUUCUCUGGAUAAGGUGGAGGAUAGUUAAGGGAGGUUUUAGUAAGUGCCAUUGUUAUGAGCCUCUGCACCAACCCACGGACGCAUGGUGUGACACAGCACCUGACAAGAAUAAGUACACCCUUUACGGCUGCGAGGGAAGUAAGAAUUGAGGCUAUUAUUCUCUUCCAUUUACCGAACCACUCUUUUAGCCAUUCUGUAAAGGGGUCAUUUACCCUUGAGUUGUUGGCUAACUCACUGGACAGAGCAGUCAGAUCUUGCAAUACCUUUGUUAUACUUCCAUCAGGGGCGCUGUUGUUUGGGAUGAAGGUACAACAUUGAGUUUUAGUCAUGAUGCAAACUCCUCCUUUUUUUGCUAAUAUAAUAUCUAAGGCUAUCCUAUUUUCCCAAGCCAUCUGGCUAGUAGCCCCUAAUUGCUCAGCUGUUCCUUUAACAACAUCUCUAGCGUAGUUAAUAAAUCACUGUUGGUUGUAGUAGACGUAGUUUAUCCAAUCUACAAUUUUAUUAAUUGUCAUCCACCAAAAUACUGACUCAAAUCCUGCAGCUAUUUGAUUUUGGGCUUUAAAUUAUCUGGUAUUUCCCGUGGGACUCCAUUUGCGUUUAAAUAGAUAUGAGAGUUAAAAGAUCCAUAAGGGGCUUCUCUCACUUUACAAUGUCUUAUUUUUUUCUUCCGCUAGUUAAUGAAAUGCCAGGGUGAAAGAGAUAGCCAACUGAACUAAAGCACAAGUGCCAGUUCAGUUAUUUGGCAUAGUGUGCAGUAAAGUUCCACCACAAUGCCACCACACAUCCACUCGUGGAUGAACACGGGCUGACUGAUUGAUAAGCUCUUGAAAAUUCUUAAGCUCGCUGCAUCCCUUCAGGUCUCCAAGGAAUGCUGUUUCCUCCCUGUCAUGAGAGACAUGAAGUGAACUUAGUGUUGGGAGACAGAAGGAGGAUGGCCCUUGGGGACUGACCCACAAGGUGCCAGAUUUCAGGAUAUAGCAGAGAGAGAGCUUGGCAUGAUUUGUUACUUCAGGCUGUAGAAUCCUAGAAAAGAGCUACCAUGCCCAGUUGACAAGAAGAACCCCCUAGUGGAAAGGGGACAGUCUGGGCCUCUGGCCUGCUGUUUACACAAGCAUAACAAUUGCUUUUGUUUAACAUGCGGAUGGAAUAUUUGAUCCAUUCCGACCAGGCAUUUGCAUCUUGGUAUCCUGUCUUAAUUGCCAAAGUUUGUUUUAAGUCUUUAACUUCUACCGUAGCUAUCUUGAUCUUAGAUGCAAGAGAAGCAAUUGUUCCAUUGUGAGAGGUUUUGGAAGAAGGCUUAGAGGAAGGUGCAGGUGGCGAGGAAUCAAAGAAAUGCAUAUCAAAGAAUCCAAUGGGGUCUGUCCCUGAAACCUCAGCCCCUAUACCAUAAAACCGGCUUAAAGGGAACUGGCUUAGAAAAUGGGAAGAACUUUGAGGGUUUGAGAUAAUAACCUGUGUAAGAUUGCACUGGUUUAGCUGACAGUUAGGGGGUGGGGCUGUCCCUCUAGUAAAAUGAAUGUAUGGUUUUAGGAAAUUACAAAAACCGGUUGGGGCAGUCCAUCCUUGCUCUUUAGUGGUUCACAGAAUGUUGGAUCGACUGUGGCAUAAAAGCUCUACAUCAGAGGGGCAAGACUCCUAGUUGACACUGGGAUCUUUAUCAAAAUCUCCCCAGAUUAAAUGGUCCCAAUUCACUAAUGCCCAGUCUGAGGAGAGUUAGGAGAGAUAGAGGUGCUUCUCUGAAGUAGAGAGCUGUCUUUGACUUGACACGUUCCCACAGGGUAUAACAAGGCAAGCAUUAAAUACAAUAGUUUGAGGUGAAAAUGACUUGGUUAUGUUAAUAACUAGAUGGUCAGCAAUAGAGCGAGGAAAGAAGAAAGAGUAACAGAAUAGAUGAAAGAGAGUUAAAUUUUUCUUAGUUUUAGUUUGGUACAGGUUUUCCCCUGGGACUAUGGUCCACGACUCUGGAGGGGGCAGUGCUUUCUUGACACCAGUGUAACGAGUUCAUCCCCUUUUUGCUGUACAAAUAGCAAUCUCGCUGGUUAGUAGCACAAGGUAGGGUCCUUCCCAGGCUGGCUUGAGUUUUUCUUCUUUCCACCCUUUGAGGAGAAUGUGAUCUUCAGGCUGGUGCUGGUUUACCAGAAAUUCUAGGGGUGGUACCUUUGCUAAAAUACUUUCAGUUUUGAGGGAAAGGAAAGUGGAAGAUAAACCAAGUAUAUAUUUUCUAAGAAACUGAUAUUUUGUUUUAAAUGUGGGGACAUCAGCAGUGGACUUUAUAGUCCUUGGUGCCUUCUUACUGAGAAAUUUUCUUUAGCACCUAUUUUUAUUAGUUUUUAGACCAAAGAAAGCCAAACACUAUUUUAUAUUUGACAAUGCUUCCUGUAUGAUUUUUAUGCCAGGUAAGCUAAAUUUCACCUUUAUAUUAGUAUGUUGUUAAUGUUAAACUCAAUUUUAAUAAAACCUUGUAGACAUAUUUAUCCAAUUUUAACAUCUGACCACAAGGUAAGAUUUUUAUAGACUCUUUUUAACCUUUUAUAAUUUUUGUUAAAGAGCAGGUUAGUGCUUUAAGAAAAACCCAUUGUGCUUUUAUUUUAAUGUUCAGUUCACAGAAAAACUGGAUGAUACCCCUUUAACUUUAGCCAAUAUGUUUACACACAGAAUUUCCUUUGCAAUUAACAUUUUAAAACUUGCUUAAACCUUUAAAACAAAAUUUUUAACCUUUUAAUGUAGGUAAAAAUGCACAUUUUUAUGCCUCCUUAUAAUCCUUUUAUCAAAAUUAUAUUUUACUUUCCUUGCACACCUUGCACAUAAACUGUUUCUUCAAUAGUUUUACAUUCAGGAGGCCUAAUUACUUCUAAAUUAUACAACAUUUCUUGCAUAAAUUCCCUUUUAUAACUUUUUUUCACGACUUUCACAGUCUUUGACUUGCCUCAACCUUCUGACUUGUUGCAAACAUGCCUUUCUUUAAAAAACCAGUUAAUUUAUUUUAGGACAAGAAUUUAUCACAUAACAUUCUUUUUAUAUAAAUUCUUCCCCUACCCUUUUUUUUUUUUUAUUUUCUCCAAAGCAAACUUCCUUCAUGUCUGUGGACUAGACUGCCUAAGGCCACAAGACUAGAAGUUAAGAUAAUACAUGUUACACUGUUAACUUUUAGCAAAUUUUACUUAAGUUGAAAACCUUGUAAGUUUGGGAUUUUAAUUAUCCUUUGCUAUUAAUAAGACCUUGUUUAGCCCAAAUUAACUUAGAAUUUGUAUAGAUGGUUCCUUCUUGGUUCUGUAAGUACUUUAAGGCUUGGCUGAGUGCAAACAGCUCGCUCACAUGUUUGAGCAGAUCAAUUAUUAGGCAAUUUUCCUAACUCUGCCUCAACAAGAGUUUCCCUAUCAAUUACUGAAUACCCAUUGUGUCUUUUUUCCUCAAUCACCCGGGAGGAACUUUCUAUAGUCCUGUCCUGAAGGGAGUUCCUCCUAGGUCUGGUUGAACUUUUGUAUGGUAAUUAAUUAAGAUUUAGAUCCCCUGUUAGGAAACCUGCUGGGUUAAGGGAAUUAUCAGAGGUUAAUUUUAAAUCAUCUUUUUCUAACAGAAUAGCCCCAUACUUCAAGAUUUUUGAGUUAGUAAGCUACCUUUUUGCUUUUUUUUUUUUUUUUUUUUUUUUUUGACUUAGGGUAGUUCUGAACUGGUGAGGUAGUUCUGAACUGGUGCUCACAAUGAGGUUUCCUCUAAAAGUUAUUUUUCUACUUUCUUCUGCUAGCAAAGCAGUUGUUGCUACAGAAGGAAUGCAUUUGGGCCAUCCUCGGGUUACUGGGUUAAUUUUUGAUAGGAAGGCUACGGGUCGUUAGUGGCCUCAGUGCUUUUGGGUUACGCCCUUGUUUACACUGACAACAAGGUGGUAUUGGAGUGUUAUAGGGUCAUGGAAAAGACCUUCAAUUAUCAAUUACAGGUUUUAAAUUUACCCUGGCUUUUAAAGGAAUAGGGUACACUGUUUUUUCUUUACUAGUUCUAUCUCUUUCUCUCUUUGACUUUGUCUCUCUCUUUCUCUCGUUGACUCCCUCUUUGUCUCUCUGCCUCUUCCUCUCUCUCUGCCUGUCUCUUUCUCUCUCUUUGACUCCCUCUUUGUCUCUCUGUCUCUUCCUCUCUCUCUCUCCCCUCUCUCUGCCUCUCUCUCUCUCCCCUCUCUCUUUCCCUUCUCUCUCUUUCUUUCCUCUCUCUCUCUCCUCUCUGCUGUUCUUUCCCUGCUUCUGCCUGCCGCUUAUGCUGCUGUUCUCCCCUCUCCUUCCCCUUCCCUUAGAGGAGGGACUGGCGGGAGUGGAGCUACCCUUUCCUCCCCCGAGAAGAAAGGAAAGAGGAGUUCUGAAUAUUUUUCUUAUUACCGGAGGUUUGUGUGAGGUUCAACCCCUGAAAUUAGUGGGAGGCUCAACCCCUCACACCAGGGAUGUCUCGCCUUGCCUGUCCUGGAAGCCUCAACCCCUCACACCGAAAUGUCUCAUCUUGCCUGUCCCGGAAGGCUCAACCCCUCACACCAGUCUUGCCUUGCUGCUCUGGAAGGUUGACCUGUUUCCUCCCUUUACCCCUUUGAAGGUCCCUUGCACACUUCCCACUCAUGUUGUCCUCUCUGGCUGCUCCCCAAGGGAGAAUUAGGCCCCUCUUAGUGUUGGCGUGCUGGUAUAAAUCCCACGACAGGGUCUGCCCUAAGCCAUUUGAGGUAGCUAUGGAAGUGCAGAAAGGACCCACUCACUCCGUCCAGCAGUAGAACUUUUCACCAUCCACAUGAACAGCACCACAAGUAGGGUUGUUUGUGAUCAUUCACGCACACAUACAUUUAGCCCUCCAGAAUUUGACCACCAAGGAAGUACUUUACCGGUUCCUGCAGCUUCUCCUUCCUUAGUCUGUGCACAGAAUCGUCGCUGCAGUCUAUGAGGAUCCUUUAAGCUAGGUUGCUGGCCAGUCCCUCCCCCCAGCCCCUCCCCUGCGCGUUGCUGAGAGCUGCGGUUAUUCCUCGCACUGAGUGGGUCUUGAGUUCUCACCCCCGAGGCCGCCACAAGGGGGCGGGGCAUGUCUCCUCAGAAGAGAGAACCAGAGACCGCCCCCGGAGGAUAAUGUAAUCACCGCAAGGCAAGGUACUUCUACAGAAGGGUACACCCUUACAGAUGGAGCAAUGGGUAAGAUGUGCCUUGCUUCACCUUAACCUUCCAC